rnacentral:rRNA from 1 species
GAUGAACGCUGGCGGCGUGCCUAAUACAUGCAAGUCGAGCGAACGGACGAGAAGCUUGCUUUUCUGAUGUUAGCGGCGGACGGGUGAGUAACACGUGGAUAACCUACCUAUAAGACUGGGAUAACUUCGGGAAACCGGAGCUAAUACCGGAUAAUAUUUUGAACCGCAUGGUUCAAAAGUGAAAGACGGUCUUGCUGUCACUUAUAGAUGGAUCCGCGCUGCAUUAGCUAGUUGGUAAGGUAACGGCUUACCAAGGCAACGAUGCAUAGCCGACCUGAGAGGGUGAUCGGCCACACUGGAACUGAGACACGGUCCAGACGCCUACGGGAGGCAGCAGUAGGGAAUCUGCCGCAAUGGGCGAAAGCCUGACGGAGCAACGCCGCGUGAGUGAUGAAGGUCUUCGGAUCGUAAAACGCUGUUAUUAGGGAAGAACAUAUGUGUAAGUAACUGUGCACAUCUUGACGGUACCUAAUCAGAAAGCCACGGCUAACUACGU